CAUAUUUCAUAGCUGAGGAAAAGAAACCAACAGGGAUCGCCUUCGUAGCGGCGAGUGAAGCGGCAAAAGCUCAAAUUUGAAAUCUGGCACCUUCGGUGUCCGAGUUGUAAUUUGAAGAUUGUAACCUUGGGGUUGGCUCUUGUCUAUGUUUCUUGGAACAGGACGUCACAGAGGGUGAGAAUCCCGUGCGAUGAGAUGCCCAAUCCUAUGUAAGGUGCUUUCGAAGAGUCGAGUUGUUUGGGAAUGCAGCUCUAAGUGGGUGGUAAAUUCCAUCUAAAGCUAAAUAUUGGCGAGAGACCGAUAGCGAACAAGUACAGUGAUGGAAAGAUGAAAAGAACUUUGAAAAGAGAGUGAAAAAGUACGUGAAAUUGUUGAAAGGGAAGGGUUUGAGAUCAGACUCGAUAUUUUGUGAGCCUUGCCUUCGUGGCGGGGUGACCCGCAGCUUAUCGGGCCAGCAUCGGUUUGGGCGGUAGGAUAAUGGCGUAGGAAUGUGACUUUGCUUCGGUGAAGUGUUAUAGCCUGCGUUGAUGCUGCCGCCUAGACCGUGGACUGCGAUU
rnacentral:rRNA from 1 species